UGGCUCUGUGCACGAUUACAGCGCCAACUAGCGUCCACAACUUUGUGGGCUCUGUCACAUUGACAUUUAGGUCGUUUAAUUGUGAAAAAAUAUCGAAAUGAAAAAAUAACAAAUAUUUUCGACUAAUAAAUUGUUGUGAUACCACGAUUUGGGUGGAAAAAAGGUUUUGAAAUCAUUUUGGUCAUUCAAAUCAAAUGAGAUCGAAAUGAGUAUUGUUUUGAAGACCGUGUUUGUGAGUGUUACAAUAUCAAAUUCCAACCACACACCGUAUUUAAAGGAAAGUUGUUGGUAUUGGCUGGACAAGUCCGAGAUGUAGAAGAAUUGAGAACAAAACAAGGGCAGAGUUCAAUAAUUCACGCUCUCAUCAUAAUGCAAACAUCUGUGCACAACAACUACUGUGACUCAUUUUUGUACUACCACGUUGUAUAGUCUAGUUAUUUCCAAAUUAUAAACGGCUAUUAAACCAGUCCUAUCGAAAUACAGUCCACUCUUUUAUUUAAGUUCCCAGUAGGACCCUUUUCAUGCGAUUAAUUAAUGAUAUUAAAAUGUAUUAUGUAGAAUCGCUUUGCCAUUGACAGAUACAUCUGAUGACAGAGCUUACAUUAUUUCUACUUUUGACCACCAUGAGCGCUGCGAUAGAUUAUGUUACCCCCACCUAGUACUUCGCACCCAGCGAUACGUUGUUUAUCAAGAACUUUUCUAAAAUGAGUUAGCAUUAAAAAACAGAUUUUAUUAUUAUGUUUAUUAACAGACAUAAGCUAUUUAACCUAAUUACAAAAUGCAUUGUUUAAAGAUACAGUAAAUAUUAAUUAAAAUUAAAGAUAUCCAAAAAUUUUGCGUAGCAAAACUGUGCUCAUUAACAUUAUUUGGGUAUGAAAUAUUUCAAAUAAAAUCAAAAAGUUUCAAAUUACUUUUAGUCGUUGGUACUUAAACGUUAGAGCCGGCAUAAAUGGCACAUUUAACACUUUAUAAAGACUAUAAAAAUAGUGACGUUUAUCUUCGUCAUGUAAAAAACUUAUAAUUAUUUAAGCAAAUGUAAACUCAUUGUAAACUCUCAAAAUUUAUAUAUGUACGAAAAUUACAUUAAAUAUAUUUUUAGACAUUGAAAGGCCUUUAGACACACGAGUAUAAUCAAAUAUUUAAAGACUAAUUGAAAUACAAACUCAAUUGUAGUCGGAUUCAAUUUUGUAAUCAAACGAAUUAAAUUACGUUUAUUUUUAUAUCUUGUGCUUUAAACAAAAUAAAUGUCUUCUAACAACCUUUAA